rnacentral:rRNA from 1 species
AUGCCAGACGGGUGGAAUGAUACGGUUGUUGUCCUCAUACCCAAAGUUAAAAACCCGAGCAGGAUCAAAGAUCCGAGGCCUAUUAGUCUAUGCAAUGUAGUCUACAAGCUAUGCUCUAAGGUGAUUGCCAACAGACUGAAACUUGUGCUCCCGGAAAUUAUUUCAGACAAUCAGAGUGCCUUUGUCCCCGGUCGCCUCAUUACCGACAAUGUGCUUAUAGCAUAUGAGUUAUCGCAUGUCCUACUGAACAAGAAAAGAGGAGGUGAGGGCUUAGCGGCAGUGAAGGCGGAUAUGAGCAAGGCUUACGAUCGCGUUGAAUGGGACUUCUUAAGGGCAAUGCUCCUCAAACUUGGGUUCGGUAUCAACUGGGUUGAUCUUGUGAUGAAAUGUGUAACUACUGUCCAUUAUCAAAUCAAGAUCAAUGGUGAGUUAACUGAGCAGUUCACCCCCACCCGGGGGUUAUGUCAGGGUGACCCAUCUUCAUUGUACCUUUUUGUCAUCUGUGCGGAAGGGCUGUCAGCCUUGCUUCAUGAUGCUGAAGCCAAUGGGCGGAUAGGUGGAGUCAAGAUUUGUCCAGCUGCACCGGUGGUCUCACACCUCUUGUUCGCAGAUGACUCAGUUCUUUUGCUCAAGGCAAAAAGGGAGGAGGCGAAGGCGUUAAGGGAAAUCUUGGAUCUCUAUGAAAGCUUCUCGGGACAAUGCAUUAACUUGGAGAAGUCUGCGGUUAUGUUGCUGACUCUCACCUAA